CAGAGGUCUCAAGCGUUGUUCGGAUUCAUUGGGCGUAAAGGGUGCGUAGGUGGCGCCGUAAGUCAGGUGUGAAAUUUCGGAGCUUAACUCCGAAACUGCAUUUGAUACUGCGGUGCUUGAGGACUGGAGAGGAGACUGGAAUUUACGGUGUAGCAGUGAAAUGCGUAGAGAUCGUAAGGAAGACCAGUGGCGAUGGCGGGUCUCUGGACAGUUCCUGACACUGAGGCACGAAGGCCAGGGGAGCAAACGGGAUUAGAUACCCCGGUAGUCCUGGCUGUAAACGGUGCUUGCUUGCUGUAAAGGAAUCGACCCUUUGUGGCGAAGCCAACGCGUUAAGCAAGCCGCCUGGGAAGUACGGUCGCAAGAUUA
rnacentral:rRNA from 1 species